rnacentral:lncRNA from 1 species
GGAUUAAUCUUAUUACAGCAACUCGUGGUUUGCUUAUGACCAUAUGUACGUAUAUUACUCAUUUAUGCACUCUGCAUUCCAUAAAACUGAGCAUGCUUGUUAGUAUGAAUGUGGACUGGAUAAACUGAGAUAGUAUAUACCUUGUGAGGGUUUAGCGUUGCUCGUUGUUGUUGUUGGAUUUAAUCCAGUGGAUAUUUACUCUUGAAGAAGUGCAAGCAGCAGCAAAUCAACUCUCUUUCUCAUUCUCUUGUUGUUGGCGUGUGAAGAAGUGGAUGGAAAUUGCUUGGCUGAUGAUUUAAAGAUGGAGUUGUUGGCUGAUACUACAAGAAAGCCUUUAGAGGAGGUAUAGUCAUAGGUUGCGGCUGAGGUGGUUGGAUGUGGUAUGCACGCUUGAGUGUGCUUAGUCAAAAGGUGCAAAAUAGGCGGUGGAGCAGGAGGAAAGAAUGCAGUGGUGACUGCCUUUGCAGCCCACUUUUCCUUUUCCCUUUUUUAUUCUGUUAUUUCCUUUUGGUACUUAGUGUUGGUGUAAUUUAGAAGAUAGAAAUGGAGGUUGAUUGUGGUGAAUAAAUGAGAUAUAUUCGUAUAUCUCGGUGCUUUUGUAAUUGUAAUAUGAAUCACGUGCUCGUAUCUGCUUUGAUACUGUCUAACUUUUUAAAUAAAUCCUGUGUUUCGAC